ACCCAGCUGACGAGUUCCAAACAGGACACAACGCGCGUCCUGGAU
rnacentral:hammerhead_ribozyme from 1 species